AUAUUCAGCCGCACGUCUCCCUCAUCCAUUUUCCCUUUCAAGAAAAGCUCCAGUACCCUACAUCAAUGGCAGUGGCUUGCCCUCUCCAUUUUCGUGAAAAUCUUCAGAUCUUGGCGUGACCACUGACAGAAGGACGCUCCCCCUUUCAUAUUUGACCAAAACUAUUCGAAAUAUAGAGGCAAUAGCAGAAUCUCUUGUAUUUUCCUUACUUUACUUGGUUUUGUCUGAUUUAAUCUGGUUCGAAGCUGAGUAGAUCUGAGACUUCAAAGCUCCGAUUCACUGCCCCCGCAGCAGGUAACAUUCACUCCUUUGCAGUUCUCUUAUUUUUGGUUUUGUCCUGUUUUGGUUCUUAUUUGUCUAAAUGUAUAAGUUCUGUUAAGUGUUAGUUUCCCUUCAUAAAAUAUUGCCCUUUAUUUAAGCAUUGAUGUAUAUGAAUCCAGCCUAACUGCCUCUGUUAAGUGUUAAUGUUUAUGGUUUUCCAGUUCUGUUUUCUGGUUACUUAGAUUUCAGUACAUUGGUUUAGAAGCUACAUAGUUAAUGGUUUGUGUUGGGUUAAAUGUAAUGCUCAACUGUUUUCUAGGUUUAAUCCUAAGUGUAGUGUAGUUAAACUAUUGAAAAGGCUUUAGUUUCAAUCUUUGAUUAGCGCGAACCAAUGCCACCAUGAGAAUUCAUCUUACAAUCGAUGACUUGUUGCUGUUAGAGUGAUUCAUUUAGAUUUGUAUUGACCUUAAUUAUUAUGAUUAGUUCAAAUGUUCACAAUCCUAAAAGAUUCUCACCAAGUUAAUGCUAUGCUAUCCUAACAAGAAAAUACAUGAUUGACUAAGUAUUUUUCCCAAAGCAGCAAAUAGAAUCCUCGAAUCUCUUAUCUUGUCUCCGCGACUAUUUCAAGUGAUACACAAGAUUGGCUUCAUUUGUAGUUUUAACUAAAGUAUGUUUGGGAGUUAAGUUGAAGGAUUCAAAUCAGGUGUGGACUAUGUAAUUGUGUGUCCAUGUGAUAUGAACAACAUGUUAGAUUCAGACUAAACAAUUGAAGAAAAGCAUGCCGACGCGAUAAGGUCUAAAGCAGGACUAGUAAAAUUAAGUGAUUUGGACUUGGAUAAAAGAAAUGGCUCUCUUAGGAUCUGUUUGUGAAGUUGCGAUUGGAAGCACAUAUGUAUUUGAAGUUAAAACUAAGUUGCCUGGGCAUUUAAUGAAAAUAUCUUAAGGACUUAGUUGUGCUAGUUAAAAUCCUGUGGGAAACAGCUUAAUCUAAGCUAUUAGACUCUGAUUAAGGUAUUGUUUAAAUGCCACUGUGUGAUUUAAAUUCCUGUGUUGAAACUGUUUUCAAAAUUAGUUCCUCGUGAAAAUAGCUGCUGCCUGCUUUAUUUUUUUUUUGAUUAAGCACCGGGUGUCCGGGUCUCUUUGAGCCCCGACUAAUCCCGGGGGUGCACAGGCCCUCGGCAAGGAGUUUCCCGCAAGUGCACCACGGUUAAUUCAGGGUUUUACCCUGCCAGCUUUAAACUUCAAUAUUAUUUCCCUACUUGUAUAUUUGAGUUCUUGAUGGCUCUAUUCUGUAUGUGUGGGAUUCGGAUAUUGAUACUAGGUUAGACAGGAUGCUUCUUACAGUUAUUUUUGGGCUGUUAGGUUGAGUGUUGACUAUAUAUGUUCAUUUCAGUUUUCCCUGCUUCAGUUAUUGAGAAUCUAAUACUCAAAUUUAGUUUAUGAGCAAUCUGUUUACUUCCCUUUCUUAUAUUGGCUUAAGUAUUAGAUGUAAUCUAGCUUGAUGAAUAAUUCAAAAUCUGAGUAGGGGUAGGAAUGAGGCAUCUAAUUAUGUUAGCUUAGAUCAUGAUUCAGUUUAUUUAAUAUCUCUAAUGGUGGCUGCCUUCAAGGACUUAAUCUGAGGACCCAUCUGUGUUUACUUAAUAUUUGUCAUAAAAAGAAAACCUGUUCUAUGUUUCAAAAACAUUUUCCUCUAAGUUUAUCUAUCUUGAAAUAGUAAAAUAUGACCUUUUUUUUAUAAUUUGAUUCAGUCCACUUUGUGCAUAUUGUAAGGUGUUUAUGUGGGAGUUGGAAUUCAUAUGACUCUAUAUUUGCCUUAUCUAAUAGUUGCAUUUCUAAUUCCUAUUAUCUUUUUUUUUGUGUUACAUGUACAUCUCGGGAGCAAUUGGAGUCUUCAUAAGAAGACUCUCGCUGCCAGUAGAAGUCUCAUUCUGAGACUCGAUAUCUCCGCUAGAUUGUGAACCCGCGUCUAUCCUGCAUUCAAUUCUCUCCCUCUCUUGAAAACAUCUGAACAAAUGCAAGGAGAAGAGAGGACUACUGUUGCAUUUAUUUUUUGCUCGUCUUAAGAUUACUAACCAUUUUUAUUUUCUUGUUUGUGAAUGUUUAUUUGAUUCGCUUAAGGUUAUCGACCCUAGAACACCUAGAUUUAGAGGGGUAGUUGACAUAAGGGAGAAGCUAGUAGUUAAUUUUUUCUUAUUUUUGAGUUACUUAUAAUACCUACAACGUUUUCUUUGAAACAUUUAAGUCUAUAUUUGUGACUUCUUUUUCUUAUCA